CAUGGAGAUUAUGGAAAGAAGGCAAGCCUUUGAAUCUUGCUGAUGAUUUCUUAGCAGAGACUGGCAGUCUAUCACAGGUGUUACGAUGCAUCCACAUUAGCCUUUUAUGUGUACAGCAGCAUCCUGAGGGGAGGCCAAGCAUGUCAUCCGUGGUUCUGAUGUUGGGAAGUGAGAAUGAAUUGCCUCUGCCCAAACAACCUGGUUUUUUGUUUCACAAGAGUCCAUUUGAAGCAGAUUCUUCAUCCGGUAACCAUGGAUCAUCUUCGAAAAACGAAAUAAGUUUAUCAGUUUUAGAGGCUCGAUAGAGGGUGAUAUGCUUCAUUAAACCUAUUAUGCUCCAAACUAUCAGUAAUGAUUCCAAUCCCACUUGAUGUUCGGGGCAUGUGCUUUUGGACCAAAUGCUAGUGAGAAAUGUUUUAAAAAUCAACAUGCAAUCAAGUACAAAUAUUAGUGUUGCAUUUAUUCCGUGGAUAGGUAGAUUGAAGGACCAAACUAAAGCUUCAUACAGUUCAGAUAUAACUGAAGCUUCAUACGGUUAAGAUGUACAAAUUUCAUGCAAUCUCAUCACUUACAAGUUGCUGACUUCUCUUGUUUUCUACUGCAUUUGUGUAAGAUCAAGAGCCACCUAAUCUAGCCGGCUUGGGAACCUCAAUAUGAGUGUUAAUUAAUUAGUGUGAUAAAUGAAUCAACAAACUAGCUUCAUUGUCUCUACAUUAUUCUGUGCAUAAUCAAACCUGUGUCAUCAACAACAAGAAAAUAUCAUUCAUGACUAGGAUUCCUCAGUUCCUUUGCUUGACUCCAGAAGUGAACUUAGUACCAUGAGACUGUAACCUCUUUUUGGGGCGCAAACGAAUGAACUUCACAUACAAGAUUAGUCAAGCUAAGUAUCAAUUAGAACUUUAAUAGAGGCUACAGAUUCCAGGUUGAAAGAAGCUGGUGAGGUCUUCAACAAAGAUAUGUUGCAGUUUUAAGGCUGUACAGUUUUCAUCUUCAUCUUUGUUUGGUCGUGGUCCAACCCCUUUGCUUAUGGGGGCUUCGACAGGCGUUGGACGACACGUUGAUGAGGCUGUCAGGGCGCCUUAAAACAAAAAGAAAAGGGAGAGCGUCCUCAUUGUACGUGACUGACACCUGAUACGAGGUUGGCUUUGUCCGGUUUCAGACAGAUUUGGUGGGCCCAACACGUUGGCAACAUUAUCAAACGCGAGAGUGAUAAUAGAUUGGCAAAAUGAAGAACACAUCUCUCACGGAUCCACUUCAGUGAGAUAUGGUGAGGGUCUUACGAUUAUAAAUAUAAAAUUUUUACUAUUUAUUAGAUAUAUUUUUUGAUUUGAUAACAUGAUAUUGUAAUUUAUAAAUUUAGAGAUGUCAACUGGUAGGAUAUUCGUUAAUUUUGAGAUACUAAAAUCUGAAUUCGAUUAAAAAAUAAAAUACCCAAACUCGAUAAUUACCUGAAUUUUUUUUAAAUUUACUAUCCUAACUCAAAUCCUAAUACAUAAUCACUACCCGAUAAUUACUCGAACCCGUUUAAAAAUCUGAUUAUGUAAAAAAUUAUUAAAAUACUCUUUAUAGAUACCCAAUUACCCAAACUCAAAUCUGUACCUGUAUCUAUAUACAAUAAUAUUUUUAUUCAUAUUUUAUAUAAUUCACCAAUAAUUAAAUUUAUAAAAGCACAUAAAUAAUAAAAUUUAAAUUUAAAUAAUCAAAAACAAAUAUCUCAAAUAUCAACUUAAAUAAUUAAAAACAAAUAUUAAACUACAACUUAAACAUUACAAGUUUAAUUAACUAUGUGGGUUUAUCCAUGAAAUUAAAAAAAAUAAUUAUAUUCCAAAAUUAUUCUAAUCUUAUAAUUUCUUUUUAGGUAUAUAUUUUAUAAGUUUAUAUACACAAAAGUAUAUAUUAUAAAUAAUAAUUUUAUAAGUUAUAUUUUCUAUAAUGUUAAUACAAUAUAGCAAGUAAACAUGUUUAUAUUUAAAGUAUAUAUACAAUAGUAAUUGUAUUCUUCAUAAAUUAACACAAUAUAUAAAAUAUAUGUAUUAAAAGAUAUUACAAGUUAAUUAAUAAUCAUAGUUUUAUGAAUUAAUUUAAUUAAUAAUAUGAAUUUGUCUUGAAUUACAUAAAAUUAAAAAAAUAUAUAAUCAGAUUCGGGUAUCGGGUAUCCAAAGGGUGAUAUUUGAACCCUACCUGAACCCGAUACAUGUAUUUUAGGGUACUUUAACUUUAUACAAUCAGAUCAGGUACUCGUAAGUACCCUGUAACAGGAUACCUAUAGACAUCCCUAUAUAAACUUACUUAAAUUUAUUAUUCUUAAUUUUUUAAAUACAUUUUUAUUACCCAUAAACUGUUUAUUAAGUUUACGACUCAUAAGUAUUUACAAACUUACAAUAAUAUAAUAAUUACGGUAAAAUAAUUUUUUUUAUCAUUAAAUUAAAAGUUUUAAUGAUGCAACUUGUCUAUUUCUUUUUGAACAUUAUGAAACUCAUAAAAAUAUUAUUAUUAUCAUCAUAGUCUUAGUUGAAAAUGAUGGUCAACAUCUAAAAAAAAGUGAUUAUCUUCUAGAAAAAGAAUUGCCUCUGCCCAAACAACCUGGUUUUUGGUUUCACAAGAGUCCCUUUGAAGCAAAUUCUACAUCAGGCAACUGCAGAUCAUCUUCUAGAAACGAAAAAAGUCUAUCAAUGUUAGAGGCUCGAUAGAGAGUGGUAUGCUUCAUUAAACCUAUUAUGCUCCAAACCAUCAGUAAUGACUCCAAUCCCACUUGAUGUUUGGGGCAUGUGCUUUUAGAGCCAAUGCUAGUGAGAAAUGUUUCAGAAAUCAAACAUGCAAUCAAGUAUAAAUAGUAGUGUUUUGUUUAUUUCAUUUUGCUGCAGGCAUGGAGAUUAUGGAAAGAAGGCAAGCCUUUGAAUCUUGCUGAUGAUUUCUUAGCAGACACUGGCAGUCUAUCACAGGUGUCACGAUGCAUCCACAUUAGCCUCUUAUGUGUACAACAGCAUCCUGAGGAGAGGCCAAGCAUGUCAUCCGUGGUUCUGAUGUUGGGAAGUGAAAAUGAAUUGCCUCUGCCCAAACAACCUGGUUUUUUGUUUCACAAUAGUCCCUUUGAAGUAGAUUCUUCAUCAGGCAACUAUAAAUCAUCUUCGAAAAACGAAAUAAGUCUAUCAAUGUUAGAGGCUCGAUAGAGGGUGGUAUGCUUCAUUAAACCUAUUAUGCUCCAAUCCCACUUGAUGUUUGGGGCAUGUGCUUUUAGAGCCAAUGCUAGUGAGAAAUGUUACAGAAAUUAAACAUGCAAUGAAGUAUAAAUAGUGGUGUUUUGUUUAUUUCAUGGAUAGAUAAGAUUGAAGGGCCAAACUGAAGCUUCAUACAGUUAACAUAUACAAAUUCCAUGCAAUCUCAUCAUUUACAAGUUUUUGACUUAUCUUGUUUUCGGCUGCAUUUAUGUAAUAUCAAACGUAAGAGUGAUAAUAGAUUGGCAAAAUCAUGAACACAUCACUCAAGGUCAGGGGAGGGGGAUUUGGCAAAAUUAUGAAGUGGUACUAGCAAUUUUAGGAAUGGGCCGGCAUGCUUAAUGAGCUUGUAGUGGACUAUCAAUUUUCUAAUGGGCUUAUUGUGGAUCAAGGCAUGUUCUAAUGGGCUUCUAUUGGACAACAAAUAUUGAUUUUUUUUUAUUAUGGAGGGUUUAUUGAUGGUUUUUUUUGGAAUGGAUUUAUUUAUACAUAAUUACAUAUAUAUUGUAUUUAAGAAAACAAAUAAAAUUUUGAAUUUCCAUAUUACUUUUAUUCUUAAUCUUUUAAAUGUAUUUUUACUAUUCACAAACUAAUUAUUAUAUUUAUGACUCAUAAAUGUAUACAAACUAACAACGACAUAACAAUCACUGUAAAAUAUUUUUUAUUCAUGAUUAAAUCAAAAACUUUAAUGAUACAACUUGUCUAUUUCUUUUUCAACAUAAUGAAAGUCAUAAAAAUAUUAUCAUCAUAGUCAUAGUUGAAAAUGAUGGUCAACAUUUAAAAAAAAAAGUGAUUAUCUUUUUUUUAAUUAAAGUAAUAGUAGAAGUAGUCAUUGGCACGUGAGUAAAAUAGCAUAAUUAACUAGCAGAUGCUUCCGGCUUGAUGCUACUUUCAGCUUGAUUUUGUCAUAACAAUAAUGUUGCCUUAAUAAUUAGUAAUUAUGUCAUUCACCAUGUAUUUUUGUUGGUUUUUGAAAGUUCUCUUUAGAUUUGCUGGCAUGACUUCAAAAUUAUAUAUAAUUAAAUAAUAUAUAUAAAUAUAUAUGUAUAAUAUUGUUUUAAAGAAGAAAAAGAAAGGAAAAUGGAGUUCUAUGUGCCAAAAAAUUGAUUUUAUUUGUUGAAUCAAAUAAAAAAUAAUUAAAUGUAUAAUUGAUAAAUCGUGUAUAAAAUUUUAAAAAAGAGAGUAUAUCUAUUAAUUAGAAAUAAUAAUUGAUUAUAUAAAUAUGUGAUUAAUUUUAAUUGAUUAACUAUUUUAAAUUAAUUACAUUAAUGAAUUAACUAAUUAAUUAGUUAAUUAAAUUAAUUAACUAACUAAUUUAUUUAUAAAAUAAUUUAAAUUAAUUAAUUUAAUUCUUUAAAACUUAACUAAUUUACUAAAAAUAAAUAUUUAGUAAUUUCACAUAUUUUAAUAUAUAAAUAUUUAGUAUUUAAAUAUUAGGUUAGUUUUGUCAUGCUAUUAUUUAUUAUUUUAAGGGAUAAAGUUGAAAAAUUAAAAAUUUACAUUAAAAAAAGGUAAGUUUGAAAAUAUAAAGGGAAUUUUUUAAAUUUACAUUACAUUCUCAUACUUCCAAACCAAAGACUACCAUCUAAUCUUCCCAACAAUUAUAUUACAUGCAAUCAUCAUUUUUCUAUGAUAUAUAAAACAUUCUAAAGUUUUUUUCAUCCAUCAUAUUCCCUGCAAUUAUCAUAUUUUUAUAUUAUACAAAACGUUGCAAAGUUCUUCUCAUUCAUCAUAUUCCCUGCAAUCAUCACUUUUUCAUAUUAUAUCAAUGUUGCAAAAUUCUUCUCAUCAAUAACAUUCUCAGUAAUCAAAUUAUUAACAAUUACAUUUUCAAUAAAAUAUAUAAAAAAAAAACACGGUUUAUACUAUCAAGAACAAACUAAUUAACAUGAAAAUAGGGGAAAUUGACACGAAGUCAAUUCCAUCGGACCCUUAGGACUUGUGAUUGCAAUUUUUUGUAAAUUCAGCCUAAAAGUAUAGGAAGACUUGACUUUUUGGUAAUCAUGUCGACUUCAUAAUGGUUAUUGAGAAGAAAAAAUCUCCCUGACGUACGUUUUUUUUAAGUCUAGAGAUGCAUGUUUACUUAAUUACUUGCACGUUGAGUGGUCUUGGUUUAAGUCAUAGUCUUACGGUCUAGUAGUGUACAAUGAAAUUAAUUUUAGAGGUUACUUUAUGAUAAAACCUAAGUGUAAAGUUCCCUGAUUUUUUUGUGUAACAAAGAAUUUUAGCAUCUUCGGUUUACUGAAACAGUUGGGAGCUCUACAUUAAGCUAGGGCGGACAAGAAUAUUCUGUUUCAUGGUUUUUUAAACUUUAAGUUACUUAACUGCAACUUAUUUCAGUUCCUAUUUCUCAAUAAUCUUAACUUCACAGCCAUCAUGUUAGUUAAAGAUAUUUCCAUCUCCAGGAAGAAGUUGAGGCCUAUAGAAUAGUUGUCGUCUCUGUCACGAUUGAUGAAGAAUUUCAAGGUCAAUGGACCCAAAGUCUUGCCUUGAAGCCUGAAGGUCAAUGCUGUUUAGAAUGUUCAAUCAAAUGGCAUCUAUUCUUAUCUUCAAAGCAAAAAGCUUUCAGACUAUACAUCCAUGGACAUGGAUAUCCUUUCUUUCAGUGCUUGUUUCCUCAUCAUCUUCACCAAAGCUUCCAGCGCACCCGACAGGAUUUCUCCGUCUGAGUCACUCACUGAUGGCACGACCUUGGUCUCUAGUGAUGGAAGCUUUGUAUUGGGUUUCUUCACUCCGGGGAGUUCUAAGAAUCGUUACUUGGGAAUUUGGUACAAUAACAUCCCCAUGCAAACUGUUGUAUGGGUUGCAAACAGGAUAAAUCCGAUAAAUGACACCACUGGCUUGCUGCAGAUAGAAAGCACUGGCAGAGUCGUGCUUCUAGGUCAGAACCAAACAACUGUUUGGUCAAUUAAUUCCACAGAAGCAGCUCAGAAUCCGAUUCUGCAGCUCCUGGAUUCAGGCAAUCUUGUUGUCAGAAAUGGAAAAGAUGGUGAUUCAGAGAACUACUUGUGGCAAAGCUUUGAUUAUCCAACUGAUACAAUGUUACCGGCGAUGAAGAUUGGUUGGGACCUGAGAACUAAUUUAAAUCGAAGACUAGCAGCAUGGAAGAACUCAGAUGAUCCAUCUCCUGGGGACCUUACUUAUGGGGUGGAACUCCAAGGCAAUCCAGAGGUGGUGCUGCGGAAAGGCUCAGAAAAGUACCAUCGCAGUGGCCUCUGGAAUGGCGAUGGAUUUAGUGGUGCACAAAAUUUAAGAUCAAAUCCGGUCUAUGAGUACGACUUUGUCUGGAAUGAGGAGGAGGUGUACUACAUAAAUUACCUCAAAAAUAAAUCGGUGAUGUCAAGGUUAGUUUUGAACCAAACUGAAAAGGUUAGACAGCGGUACACAUGGAACCCAGAAACUCAAACUUGGAUGUUGAUUUCCAUCAUGCCAAGUGACUGUUGUGACAUACUUGGACUUUGUGGUGCAAAUGGGAACUGCGAUAAUUCCACGCUUCCAGCUUGCCAAUGUUUGAAAGCAUUCAGGCCUAAAUCGCUGGAAAGAUGGAACUCCUUAGACUGGUCUGAAGGGUGUAUACACAAUAAGCCAUUAAACUGCCAAAGCGGAGAUGGAUUUAUUAGAAUUGAGAGGGUGAAAACGCCAGAUACCUCACAUUCUUGGGUGAGCAAAAGUAUGAAUCUCGAGGAAUGCAGGGCUAAGUGCUUGCAGAACUGUUCUUGUAUGGCAUACACUAAUUUAGAUAUUAGAGGAGGAGGUAGCGGCUGCGCCAUGUGGUUUGGUGAUCUAAUUGAUAUUAAACAAUUUCAAUCAUUUGGCCAGGAUCUUUACAUCAGAGUCUCUGCUUCAGAAGCAGGUAUCAGUUUAAAAUCGGAACAUUUUCUUGUUACAGCUUGUGAUAAUUUCUUUUGGAAAUUGUUUAAUUAUACUUGGGCUCCUUCAUCAAUAAUGAUCAUGCAGAACUGAAAAACAAGGCUAAGGCGAAGCUGGCCGUGAUAAUUGCAACACCAAUUGCUAUGUUCUUGGGGCUUCUUGUAGUCAUUUAUUACAUCCGGAGAAGGAGAAGAAAAUUAGAAGGUAAUAUCAACUAUGGUCCUCAUUAAAGCAGGGGAAAGUUGGUAUUUGAUACAAAUACCAAAAUCGUUUCUGCUCACAGCACCGCUAUCAGAUCCCUGCCCUGUUUUCAAGAAAACAGUAAUACUAAAAUUUGUCAUUUCUCUUAUCAAAUUUGAUAAUACAUGGUUUUCAAUUUUGUUUUAUGAUCUGACAAAAAAGUGAGUCCAUGAACAAUUGGUUCGAUAUUUUUGGUUUUGGUGUUCAGAAGAAGCAUACAGCUUUUGUCUAUCUAAAUCUAUCAAUAUGCAUGAGAAAGCGUAUCUCUGUGUUGAAUGCUAGCCUAUUUUGACUACUGUUUCAGAUGAAGUUAAAGAAAGGAUUUUAAAUGAUCAAAAGAACCAAGGCCAGAGUGAAGAUAUGGAGCUUGCUGUAUUCGAGCUAGCUACGAUAGCCAGAGCUACUGGUAGUUUUUCUUUUAAUAACAAGCUAGGUGAAGGAGGUUUUGGACCUGUUUAUAAGGUAAAAGUAAGCACAUAUUACUAAAGUGAUCUCAAGCACGGAGAAUUCAUCUUUAUUGAAAGCUCAUCAAAAUAUUCCUAGUCUCCAGGGGACACUUGCAAAUGGACAAGAAAUUGCUGUGAAAAGACUUUCAAAGAGUUCCGGACAAGGAUUGAACGAGUUUAAAACUGAAGUAAAGUUGAUUGCCAAACUUCAGCAUCGGAAUCUUGUAAGGCUUCUUGGGUGCUGCAUUCAUGGAGAGGAGAAAAUGCUGGUUUAUGAAUACAUGCCUAACAGAAGUCUUGACUCAUUUAUUUUUGGUCAGAAACCUUUCAAUUUUAUAUUGUCUGCUCUCGGCUUGUGAAAUAGUUUUCUUUUGCUGCUUCAAAGGAUCAAAUAGAUAUAGAAUUAACAUGAAGGCAGUACUUGACAGAUCAAAGAAGGUGCAAAGUAUUAGAUUGGCCCAAGCGUUUCCAAAUUAUCUGUGGGAUUGCUAGGGGACUACUCUACCUUCAUCAAGAUUCCAGAUUGAGGAUUAUUCAUAGAGAUCUAAAAGCUAGUAAUGUUUUGCUUGAUAGUGAGAUGAACCCAAAAAUUUCAGAUUUUGGCAUGGCAAGACUUUUGGAGGAGACCAGACUGAAGCCAAUACCAACAGAGUGGUUGGAACUUAGUAAGUCUACUUUUUCUGCAAAUUUGAUCUAUAAAUGCCCAUGAAACUCUUAUCUGACAAUGUUUUGCAGUGGUUAUAUGGCACCAGAAUAUGCUAUCGAUGGGCUGUUUUCGGUAAAAUCAGAUGUGUUUAGCUUUGGCAUAUUGUUGUUGGAGAUAAUAAGUGGAAGAAAGAAUAGAGGAUUAUAUCAUCAAAAUCAAAAUGGCAACCUUAUUGAACAUGUAAGCCUGAUUGUCAUUAUCUUUUAUUACAUAUUUUGAACCGAUGAAUGAUAAAAGAAUUUCAUUUUGCUGCAGGCAUGGAGAUUAUGGAAAGAAGGCAGGCCUUUGGAUCUUGUUGAUGAGUUCUUAGCAGAGACCGGCAGUCUAUCACAGGUGUUACGAUGCAUCCACAUUAGCCUUUUUUGUGUACAACAACAUCCUAAGGAGAGGCCAAGCAUGUCAUCCGUGGUUCUGAUGUUGGGAAGUGAAAAUGAAUUGCCUCUGCCCAAACAACCUGGUUUUUGGUUUCACAAGAGUCCCUUUGAAGCAGAUUCUACAUCAGGCAACUACAAAUCAUCUUCUAGAAACGAAAUAAGUCUAUCAAUGUUAGAGGCUCGAUAGAGGGUGGUAUGCUUCAUUAAACCUAUUAUGCUCCAAACCAUCAGCAAUGACUCCAAUCCCACUUGAUGUUUGGGGCAUGUGCUUUUAGAGCCACUGCUAGUGAGAAAUGUUUCAGAAAUCAAACAUGCAAUUAAGCAUAAAUAGUAGUGUUUUGUUUAUUUCAUGG
rnacentral:lncRNA from 1 species